CACGUAGGGUGCGAGCGUUGUCCGGAAUUAUUGGGCGUAAAGAGCUCGUAGGCGGUGUGUCGCGUCGGCCGUGAAAACCUGCAGCUUAACUGUGGGCUUGCGGUCGAUACGGGCAUCACUGGAGUUCGGCAGGGGAGACUGGAAUUCCUGGUGUAGCGGUGAAAUGCGCAGAUAUCAGGAGGAACACCGGUGGGCGAAGGCGGGUCUCUGGGCCGAUAACUGA
rnacentral:rRNA from 1 species